rnacentral:rRNA from 1 species
GGCGGACGGGUGAGUAACACGUGGAUAACCUACCUAUAAGACCGGGAUAACUUCGGGAAACCGGAGCUAAUACCGGAUAAUAUAUUGAACCGCAUGGUUCAAUAGUGAAAGACGGUUUUGCUGUCACUUAUAGAUGGAUCCGCGCCGCAUUAGCUAGUUGGUAAGGUAACGGCUUACCAAGGCAACGAUGCGUAGCCGACCUGAGAGGGUGAUCGGCCACACUGGAACUGAGACACGGUCCAG